rnacentral:rRNA from 1 species
CGAGCGGCGGACGGCUGAGUAACGCGUGGGAACAUACCCUAAAGUGAGGGAUAACUACUCGAAAGAGUGGCUAAUACCGCAUAUGAUCUUCGGAUUAAAGCAUUUAUGCGCUUUAGGAAUGGCCUGCGUACGAUUAGAUAGUUGGUGAGGUAAAGGCUCACCGAGUCGACGAUCGUUAGAUGGUUUGAGAGGAUGAUCAUCCAGACUGGGACUGAGACACGGCCCAGACUCCUACGGGAGGCAGCAG